AUUUAUCAAUCUUAUUUUUCACAGCAUAAAUGAAACUGUGUUUGAAGAAUCAGGUGCUGCUACAUCAUUCAAGGAAAUUCGUCGUAGAGGUCUUUCUCUUUACCAGAUUUCGUAGCUGAACUUUAAGAAGCAAUCAAACCGGUGUUAACUUCUUAUAUAAAGGUAGAUUCCCAAACUUUGAAGAAACGCUGCAGUACUGAGGUAAUUGAACGUUGUAAGGCAGAGCAUUGGGCUUACCGGAGCCAAGGUAUCUUCUUCGAUAACAAGUAAGGAU